rnacentral:sRNA from 12 species
UUAACAUUGGGAGUGCAGAGGGGAUUUCCCUCGCCGGUUUAGAGGGGGUGCUCAGGAUGCAUUGAUAGCUGUGGGCAUCCGUCGAAGGGGGA